AGUGUUAUUGACUCGGCUUGCUCGUUGUCACUCGAUAAAUCGUAAACUCUCUGGCACUCUUACGUUAAAGGUCAGGAGUAAUGUAACCUACUAUUCAUCAAACACUGGAAUCAUAGUAGUAACCAGUUACAUGUGGUAGGGUCAAGAAAGAAGGCUUGGAUUUUCACUGAUAAACCUUUGACUGACCCUGCAAAGAGUAUUGGACGGUGAUGCCUCGCAGAAGAAUCCGCCGUCAGCAAUUGAUCUGUGGCAUACUAAUUUUUUGUAUAGCUCAGAUGAUUGACACAAAAUGGAAUUUCCUCAACCUAAGCAAGUAUAUCUCUAAGG